rnacentral:lncRNA from 1 species
GGCACAAUACCAUGAUAAUCUUACCAAUUUAUCGAAUUUUGAACCAUAUAAUCUCAAAUAUCAAAUUUCCGACAAGGCACAAUACAAUCAUUCUAAUUUAUCGAAUCAAAAGUGGAAAACAAUUGAUUAAAUAUUUAUUUUACACCAAUUACAUCGCUCUCUUUUAUUUGUAUUUCCCAUCUGAAAGAGAAUAUCAAACAACCGUAAAAAAGAGGGUUGAACAAUU